rnacentral:rRNA from 1 species
AUUGAACGCUAGCGGCAUGCCUAACACAUGCAAGUCGAACGGCAGCACGAGGAGCUUGCUCCUUGGUGGCGAGUGGCGGACGGGUGAGUAACGCGUAGGAAUCUGCCUUGUAGUGGGGGAUAACCCGGGGAAACUCGGGCUAAUACCGCAUAAUCUCUACGGAGCAAAGUGGGGUACCUUUGGCCUCACGCUAUAAGAUGAGCCUGCGUUGGAUGAGCUAGUUGGUGGGGUAAAGGCCUACCAAGGCGACGAUCCAUAGCUGGUCUGAGAGGGCGGCCAGCCACACUGGGACUGAGACACGGCCCAGAAUCCUGCGGGAGGCAGCAGUGGGGAAUAUUGGACAAUGGGCGGAAGCCUGAUCCAGCCAUGCCGCGUGUGUGAAGAAGGCCUUUUGGUUGUAAAGCACUUUAAGCGAGGAGGAGGCUCUUAAGGUUAAUACCCUUGAUGAGUGGACGUUACUCGCAGAAUAAGCACCGGCUAACUCUGUGCCAGCAGCCGCGGUAACAC